rnacentral:tRNA from 1 species
AAGGCUUUAGCUUAAUCAAAGUGCCCGCGUUGCAUGCGGGAGCUGUGGGAUAAUGCCCCGCAAGUUUUA